GACGUAGGGCGCGAGCGUUGUCCGGAUUUAUUGGGCGUAAAGAGCUCGUAGGCGGCUUGUUGCGUCGGCUGUGAAAACCCAUGGCUCAACCGUGGGCUUGCAGCCGAUACGGGCAGGCUGGAGUUCGGUAGGGGAGACUGGAAUUCCUGGUGUAGCGGUGAAAUGCGCAGAUAUCAGGAAGAACACCCGUGGCUAAGGCGGCUCUCUAGUACGGUACUGACGCUGAGACGCGAAAGCGUGGGGAGCGAACAGG
rnacentral:rRNA from 1 species